rnacentral:rRNA from 1 species
UACGUAGGGUGCGAGCGUUAAUCGGAAUUAUUGGGCGUAAAGCGCACGUAGGCGGUCCGUUAAGUCAGAUGUGAAAGCCCCCGGCUCAACCGGGGAAGUGCAUCUGAAACUGGCGGGCUAGAGUACGAAAGAGGGUCGCGGAAUUCCCGGUGUAGAGGUGAAAUUCGUAGAUAUCGGGAGGAACACCGGUGGCGAAGGCGGCGACCUGGGUCGAUACUGACGCUGAGGUGCGAAAGCGUGGGGAGCAAACAGG